rnacentral:rRNA from 1 species
UACGUAGGGUGCAAGCGUUAUCCGGAAUUAUUGGGCGUAAAGAGCUCGUAGGCGGUUUGUCGCGUCUGCUGUGAAAACUGGAGGCUCAACCUCCAGCCUGCAGUGGGUACGGGCAGACUAGAGUGCGGUAGGGGAGAUUGGAAUUCCUGGUGUAGCGGUGGAAUGCGCAGAUAUCAGGAGGAACACCGAUGGCGAAGGCAGGUCUCUGGGCUGUAACUGACGCUGAGGAGCGAAAGCAUGGGGAGCGAACAGG